rnacentral:rRNA from 1 species
UAGGGAAUCUUCCGCAAUGGACGAAAGUCUGACGGAGCAACGCCGCGUGAGUGAAGAAGGAUUUCGGUUCGUAAAACUCUGUUGUUAGGGAAGAAAAAAUGUAUAGUAACUAUAUACAAAAGAGACGGUACCUAACCAGAAAGCCACGGCUAACUACGUGCCAGCAGCCGCGGUAAUACGUAGGUGGCAAGCGUUGUCCGGAAUUAUUGGGCGUAAAGCGCGCGCAGGUGGGUUAGAAAGUCUGAUGUGAAAGCCCACGGCUCAACCGUGGAGGGUCAUUGGAAACUAAUAAACUUGAGUGCAGGAGAGAAAAGUGGAAUUCCUAGUGUAGCGAUGAAAUGCGUAGAGAUUAGGAGGAACACCGGUGGCGAAAGCGGCUUUUUGGCCUGCAACUGACACUGAGGCGCGAAAGCGUGGGGAGCAAACAGG